rnacentral:rRNA from 1 species
UACAGAGGGGGCAAGCGUUGUUCGGAAUUACUGGGCGUAAAGGGCGCGUAGGUGGCCUUCUAAGUUGAACGUGAAAUCCCCUGGGCUCAACCCAGGAACUGCGUCCAAGACUGGGAGGCUUGAAUCCGGGAGAGGGAUGCGGAAUUCCAGGUGUAGCGGUGAAAUGCGUAGAUAUCUGGAGGAACACCGGUGGCGAAGGCGGCAUCCUGGACCGGUAUUGACACUGAGGCGCGAAAGCCAGGGGAGCAAACGGG